rnacentral:tRNA from 1 species
GAGGACAUAGCUUAGUGGAAGAGCGCAUGCUUGGCAUGCACGAGGUCCCGGGUUUAAUCCCCAGUAUCUCCA